rnacentral:misc_RNA from 1 species
UAUUAAAAUGAAUUAAUACAUAAUUUGAUCAAUAAUCACUUCAUAUUUAACAUAUACAUAUGAACUAUAGGAUUCAUAUACUAAUAAUUGCAGAAGGGGAAAAAAUUUUUAUGAACAGGAAACACAUAUGCACUAAGUAAUUAAGGAUAGCAGAUGGCAGGUACAACGCAUAAAAUUAGAUAAAAGAAACAAAGAAACGAUCGAUGUUUGUGUCAGGUAUGUGGAGGUGCUGCUAUAUUAUCAUCGGCUCAUGCCACCACCCACAGUGGGAGCUACUGUGAUCCCCCGGCUUUGUCUAUCCAUGUUUGCCUGCCAACCUUCACAUUCAGCACUACUGAUUAGUUUAGUAUAUAUGGAUAUAAUUCAAGUGGGAGAGAGAGAGAGCAAUUUCAAGAAUAGACGUGGUAAAAGCAACCAAAUUGACCUAGUGGGACUUUAGCUAUAGGAGCAUAAAUUGAAGCCAGUGACAUAAACACUAUAUACUUUUUAUCACUGGACAUGCUUUUAGAAUCUUGAUUUCCCUGCAACAUAUUCUUUAUUUAUGUGCAAUGACUAAGAUUUUCUUUUGCUUAGAUCUAGUCUACCGAUUGAUCCAAAACACAGGACAUAAGAUUUAUGAAUCGAGUUUAAAUAAAAAUUUCUCUAAAAAAAAUAUAUAAUUUCACCAGCAGUAAACAAAGAAUGGCAUUUAUUAUCAACUUAAUAAACAUUUGUUUACGUGGUAUUCUUGUACUUCGUAAAUUUCUUUCUUUUGAUGAAUUUAUAUGGAAAGAAAGAUGCUAAUGGAAGAUCAAAUUACAUACCAAUCCCCAUGUCAAAACCACGAUUCUUGAGCUCUCUGUAUUCUUGACAAAGUGCGCAAGGCUCACAGAAGAAGUGAACCAAGCAAUCCACACAAGGUACCUCCUCCAAGUCGUAUUGGCCUCUCAAUCUUGACCUAUAAAAGCACGAGUACAAGCAUGGGAAACCUGUGAAACCCAUUAGCAAACCAUAAACUGCACCACUUGCUGCACAAGCUGCACCAAACAAAAUUUAAAACCUGGAUUCAGUCACCAAUUCAAAACAUACAAGAUCACUUUAACCUACCUUUAUAUUUUAUACACUAAAAGCUUAC